rnacentral:rRNA from 1 species
AAAGGCGCGCGAUACAGGGUGACAGCCCCGUACACAAAAGCGCAUGUGCUGUGAGCUCGAUGAGUAGGGCGGGACACGUGGUAUCCUGUCUGAAUAUGGGGGGACCAUCCUCCAAGGCUAAAUACUCCUGACUGACCGAUAGUGAACCAGUACCGUGAGGGAAAGGCGAAAAGAACCCCGGCGAGGGGAGUGAAAAAGAACCUGAAACCGUGUACGUACAAGCAGUGGGAGCACAGGUUUACCUGUGUGACUGCGUACCUUUUGUAUAAUGGGUCAGCGACUUAUAUUCUGUAGCAAGGUUAACCGAAUAGGGGAGCCGGAGGGAAACCGAGUCUUAAUUGGGCGUUAAGUUGCAGGGUAUAGACCCGAAACCCGGUGAUCUAGCCAUGGGCAGGUUGAAGGUUGGGUAACACUAACUGGAGGACCGAACCGACUAAUGUUGAAAAAUUAGCGGAUGACCUGUGGCUGGGGGUGAAAGGCCAAUCAAACCGGGAGAUAGCUGGUUCUCCCCGAAAGCUAUUUAGGUAGCGCCUCGUGAAUUCAUCUCCGGGGGUAGAGCACUGUUUCGGCUAGGGGGCCAUCCCGGCUUACCAACCCGAUGCAAACUGCGAAUACCGGAGAAUGUUAUCACGGGAGACACACGGCGGGUGCUAACGUCCGUCGUGAAGAGGGAAACAACCCAGACCGCCAGCUAAGGUCCCAAAGUCAUGGUUAAGUGGGAAACGAUGUGGGAAGGCCCAGACAGCCAGGAUGUUGGCUUAGAAGCAGCCAUCAUUUAAAGAAAGCGUAAUAGCUCACUGGUCGAGUCGGCCUGCGCGGAAGAUGUAACGGGGCUAAACCAUG